GUGGAGUUGGCAGUAAAGAUAAUAGGUGUUGAUGCUGCUGCUGCUGCUGAUGAUGAUAAUGAUUUGCUUGGGCUGAUUGACCAGGAUGUGAUAUUCUGCAAGUCAAUUCUCAGUGAUUUCGCUGCUAAGACAAAAGCCACUCCGCCCACUUACUCUCUGGAUUGUGUAGAAGGAUUGGAACACAUGCCAUCGUUCAUUUCAUCUGUGUCAUUCGCUGGGAACAUUUAUACUGGUGAAGCUGCAAGAAAGAAGAAGGAGGCGGAGCAGAGGGCAGCUCGUUCUGCGGUCAUAUCUAUUUUAGCUACAAGGAACCCUUGUAUGCAACAAAUUCUGAGAUCAAAGAAACAACAAAUCAUUGCCAUCACAUCUGCUAGGAACAACAAG